GGGACGAACGCUGGCGGCGUGCUUAACACAUGCAAGUCGAGCGGAAAGGCCCUUCGGGGUACUCGAGCGGCGAACGGGUGAGUAACACGUGAGUAACCUGCCCUAGGCUUUGGGAUAACCCUCGGAAACGGGGGCUAAUACCGGAUAUUCAUUCUGCGUGGCAUCACGUGGUGUGGAAAGUUUUUCGGCCUGGGAUGGGCUCGCGGCCUAUCAGCUUGUUGGUGGGGUGAUGGCCUACCAAGGCGACGACGGGUA
rnacentral:rRNA from 1 species